rnacentral:rRNA from 1 species
UACGAAGGGGGCUAGCGUUGCUCGGAAUUACGGGGCGUAAAGGGCGCGUAGGCGGACAGUUUAGUCGGGGGUGAAAGCCCGGGGCUCAACCUCGGAAUUGCCUUCGAUACUGGCUGUCUUGAGUACGGGAGAGGUGUGUGGAACUCCGAGUGUAGAGGUGAAAUUCGUAGAUAUUCGGAAGAACACCAGUGGCGAAGGCGACACACUGGCCCGUUACUGACGCUGAGGCGCGAAAGCGUGGGGAGCAAACAGG